GGGGCUUUAGCUCAGUGGCAGAGCGGAGGACUGCAAAUCCUUAGGUCGCCGGUUCAAUCCUGGCAGGUCCCU
rfam:Tetrahymena thermophila SB210 genomic scaffold scf_8254707, whole genome shotgun sequence.